UCGCUUUUCUUACGUUUCUGUUCUCAGAAGAAAUGAUGGAGUCAUCCAAGCCUGGGGGCAAGUCUGAUCACCAGCCUGAAGACAGCCUAACAAAUCUCCAAGUUGUAGCAGGAUAAGUCCCGGGGAGACAGUGUGGGUUCUUGUCAAGAAGGGUGGGGAGGGGCUGGGCUGGGGCUCCGCAGUAGCACACUCGCCUGGCAUGUGUGAGGCACUGGGUUCGAUUCUCAGCAUCACAUAGAAAGACAUAAAUAAAAUAAGUGUCUCUCAACAACUAAAAACAUAUUUUAAAAAGAAGGAUGGAGAAGUAAAGAAAAUAUGAUUAAAGUCUAUAGGUCAUCCUGGGCACGGAUCAAAUAUGAAUGCCACCCAACCUCAUGUCCGUGGUCAGUGACUCCUGACGGGCACCGGGGGUCUACUGACUUCCAUUCAAGGACCAUUUCCUUUGCUAACAGUCUGGGGAGGGGCUGGUGUGGUGGCCUGCCUCCUGUACUCAUGCCCUUGUGAAGUCUGCAUUCCCUUGGGAAGGACCGAACAACUAGGGGCUGCACCUAACACCUUGCUUUAAUGAGCAGACUGAAGUUAUGAGAUAUCACCUUCGUAGUGAUGCUCCACAGCAGGGUGACUCUGUGACUUUGGGGUCACUGCCCGACUCUCUGUAGCCUUGUAGGAUUGCGUGUUUGCAUGGAGCAUCUGCCUUGUGAGAGAACCAUGUGAUACAGAGUCAAGGGUCACUCCAGCCAGCACCACCAGGAGCUGCAGCCUUCAGCCCGACAGCCUGCUCCACCACUGUGCCAACACCAGUGAGCCAGGUGAGCUCGAAGCAGGUCCUUCCCCGGCGGAGCCUUCGGAUGAGACCCCAGCUCUGGCCAACACCUUGACCAGAGCCUGUGGGAAACCCGAGGCAAGGACCCUGCUAAGCCGUGCCUAGACUUCUGCCCACAGAAGCUGUGAGACAGUAAGUGUGAGCUGCUUUAAGCUGCUAAAUCGUGGGGUCAUUUGUGACGCAGCAGUAGAUAGCUAACAUGCAAACUUAGGGUCAACCUGAGUGCCUUAAAUGGGGGGGGGGCAGGUUCUAGCUGUAGCCUCGGGGCUGGGUUAUCUGUGGUAGAAAGUGGUCCCCACAUCUGGUGGCUUACAAGUGCUGACACAUCUUGCUCCUGGUGUAUGUGGACUGUGGGCUGAUGGGACCGCGUGCCUGUAGCCUCUUUAUUCCAGGACACAGGCUGAUGGAGCAGUCUCUAUCUGGAGUGUUCCUGGCCUCAGGGAAGAGGGAGGCUGAUGGUGACCAGGCACCCGUUAGUCAAAGCUUCUGCACGCUCACGUUUCAGGGGCAAAGCCAGCCAUGAGACCAAGAACGAGGCUCUUCCCUAGCCCUGUAAUCCUGGCCCAGGGUCCACCUCCCAGGAUCCAGCACCGUCUGGGGUGGGCCCACAACCUGGCGCUCCUGGGGGUAGGGUAAGGAACUCCCGAAGGCCUCCCAGCCCCUGGCUCUUGGCCCCUCUUCCAGAGACACAUGCAGCACGACCCCCGAUGAGGCUCCUGGGAGACCCAGGUGUGGAAGCUGCAGGAAGCCCAGCACUGGGCCAAACUCCCUUCCAGCCGCCCCAGCCAGCCGCGAAGCGCGGCUCAGCUGGCUGCCCACGGCCCCAGGAGAGACCCUCGGGCAGCCCCUGAGUCUCUGUUGCGUGGGAAAGGGAAAUCUGCGCCCCCAGAGCAGGGCCUGAGGAAGGGGCUCUCCUGGGGCCACUUCCUCCACAGAGCGGGUUGGGGCGGGACGGAGACCAUGGUUUCCAGCCACACGAGAAACCCUGGCAACCCCGGCUCACACCUGGUCCCUGGCUUCCUUCCCUGAGUCAGGACGGAGCCGUAGUUUAGGGUCCGACUCUUCUGCCUCCUCUCAUCACUGAUAGAAUGGCCACCCACAACCGCGGCCAGGAAAGCUCUGCAGACAGGAGAAGGCCCCCACACAGCCGGUCCCCACCUGCGGCUGCCCGGGCCUCCGCCAAGGAUCCCGCUUUUCUCACUUUCUGUGUCCAGAAGCGCUUCCUGGGGCGGCUCCCCUGCCCCCACAUGCACCCCGAGAACCCAGCACCCCAGAGCGCCCUGAGAACCCAGCACCCCAGAGCGCGAGGGCCUGGAGAAGAGUGCCCGACAGAGGCCCUCGGGUGGGGGAGGGGAAGGUGGCCCAGUGGCCCUGGGGUGGGACAGAUUUGGAGGCUUGGUUUCAGCUAUCAGUUGUCGCUUUUUCCAUAAAGUCUAAAAAUUCAGCCAAGAGAAGAGGGAGAAGAAGGAGGAGGAAGAGGAAGGAUGAUAACCGCAUAAACAUCGUUCCCUUGACUCAGGACAGAAGUCGAACUGAAUUCCCAGGCCCCUGGAGAGACCGCCCGGAUUCUGUCGGGCUCCUCCUUGUCCUCUAAGGCCAUCUGUGUAACAGAGUCACGGCACCUGAAUAGGAGAGACACAGGGCAGGUCCAGGGAGCGUGUGGCCUGGGAGCGUGUGGCCUUGGGGACCCUGAACUUCUGGCCUCUCACCGCUGGUUCCCGGUCUCAUCGAGACCGAGGGCACCGCAGAGCCGAGCCCCAGGCGCUCCCCGUUGGAAUGUUCCUGAAAGACGGUCAGAAGGCAAACAGGAAGUGGGGGGUCUGCCCUCCUCCUCCAGCCUCACCACCACCCAAACAUGGGGACCGCGGGUGGCUUACAGGAGGAGGGCCUCAGGUGUCCCCCAGCACGGCCAGGAGGGCGGAGGCCGCUUUUAGAGCAACGCAGCACUGAGAAACGCCCAAUAGGAGGGGUGGGGGCGAGCGUCCCUGUGGUUGGUAAUGUCCCCAGGGUGGGUCCCCGGUGCCCGGGAUCUGGGCUCUAUCAUAAAUACUCUACCUGCAGCCUAUGAGGCCGUCCUUUGUACUUCUCUAAAUAUUUUUGAUUUUUCAUAACAAAAUCCUCCCCUUCCUUCCUUUGUGCCAAACAAUUGCUCAGGAAAAUGAUAUUUUUCCGAUCCCUCACUUAAGGUACACUGAGUGUGGGUCUCCUGUGAGCCAUCCGCUGCGGCUCUGAGGCAGGGAACCAACUUGUCCCAACCUCUUAAUCUCAUGGAACUUACUAACGAACCCUGUUCUACUUGUUAUCCUGCUUGACACAGGUAGGUGUUGUGUUUUUCUUUCCGAGAUUCCUGGGUAUCUGUGUGGGUGAGUUGUCUCUCAGGCUAAAAGGCCACGGAAAUAGCCCCUCAAACAAGCGACCUCUGGGCCAACUGGGCGAAUCCAGCCUCAGAACUCAGCCUGACUCGCGAGUCUGUACAAAUCUUUGGGUCUGAGGAGGUAAGGACGCUGCCCUUUCCCAUGGGAGCCCACCCAUGACCCCACAGUUCAAGAUUCCAAGAUUAACAGAGAGGACCGAGAAUUUCUUUUGCAUUUAUUUAUUUAUUUCUGGUGGGGAGUGAACUCAGGGGCACUUAACCGCUGAGCAUGCCACAUCCCCAGCCUUUUUUUUGUUUUUACUUUAUUUAGAGACAGGUUCUCACCGAGUUGCUGAGUUGCUGAGGCUGGUUUCAACUUGUGAUCCUCCUGCCUCAGCCUUCCCAGCCACGGGAUUAUAGGCGUGAGCCACCGGAGCAGGCUGAGACCUAGAAAUUCUUGACCAUUCCUAUGCUUCCAGGCAGAGGUAUUUAAGCCACUCUGAGCAAACUAGACUCCCUUUGACAGUCUGGAAUUCCAUCCCCAGGUGACAUUAAAAUCCUUCUGCACACAGCCAUGUUUGUUUGCUCUUGCCCAUUCCUCCCUGUUGGUUUUUCCCUGACAGAUUGGUGUCCCAGAAGAGACAGGCUUGGCCUCCAGAUUCUGGCUUCUGCCCCCAGCAGCCCAC
rnacentral:lncRNA from 1 species